rnacentral:rRNA from 1 species
GUAAACCCAAGGUUUCCAGGGGAAGGUUCGUCCGCCCUGGGUUAGUCGGGACCUAAGCUGAGGCCGAAAGGCGUAGGUGAUGGACAACAGGUUGAUAUUCCUGUACUACCGAUAACCAUUUGAGAGAUGGGAUGACACAGUAGGAUAAGCUAAGCACACUGUUGGUUAUGUGUGCCCAAGCAUUGAGGCAGUCAAAGUAGGCAAAUCCGCUUUGAUAAUGCUGGGAUGUGAUGGGGAGCGAAAUU